AUAGCAAUCCAGAGCGGCGCUUCCCUGGCUCUCCCUCUUCCCAACCUUCUUUCCCGACUCCCAAUCCCCUGAGGCCCAUCAUAGGGUCCCCUUAGAACUUUCCGUCCCCCUCCUAAGAUUUCAACCAAUUAGCCGGGUCGGGGCCUGCAUGGUGGCUGUCUUGCCUAAGGAAGUGCCUUGGCAGAAAAGGAGGAAGGAGGGCCCUGGAGGGAAUAGGGAAGGGAGUUGUUCUGAGAGCCCCUCCCGUCAACUUAGUAGGCAAAACAACCAAUUUUUUCAAGGACAGAACUGAGGGGAUGGCAUCCACAUCUGCCAGGAGUGGGGACAAAAAGGACAUCAGGUCAUCUCAAGCUGCCGCCUCCUUAGGUGGAGGGCAGAAACUCUCAUUAUCCCGCUCUGAAGAAUUCCUGUCCCGAAUCAGCACAGAACUUACAGAUGAAGCACUGUUUAUUGCUCGCUCCCAUUUGAGUAUACUGCCCAAUAAGGAAAAGAAUACAAAAGACCAAGGGACUCAGAUAUCUAGACCUGUGUUCUUCACCAAGACCCAAGGCACUGACACCCGGUGAGUGAGGCUCUGUCCUUCUCCCAGGACAGAGGAGCCUGUGGGGAGAGAGCAAGGGUUGACAGCAUCCCAGCAGGCUCUGACAAAAAUCGAACCCGAACCAAGGCACACCUUCUGCCAUCUCCUCGUGAAAAGGGACCACUCCCCAACAGCCUGACAACGGGAGGAUGAGCGCAGUCCUCCCUAGUACCGCUCUCUCUUGGCUUCUUGCCUUCCCCCACUAUGUCCCUCAAUGAAAACCUCAAAGCCCCUCUUUUGCAGCUGGCUAAGCCUCUCAUCUUGGGAGGAACUCCUGGUCAUAAGCAAUGCCACCUUUGAAACCAAGAAAAUCUGGAACUGUUGCAGGGCCCUCCACCCUCCCUGGGCAAACGCCACUGAGAAGAAAAGGUUUCAAUAAAGAACCAGGAUGCCCGCU
rnacentral:lncRNA from 1 species